rfam:Sphaerobolus stellatus SS14 unplaced genomic scaffold SPHSTscaffold_51, whole genome shotgun sequence.
GGUCUAUUAGCUCAGUUGGUUAGGGCGUGGUACUAAUAAUGGAAUGCCAAGGUCACGGGUUCGACCCCUGUAUGGACCA